ACAGGUGCUUGUGAUACUGAAGGAACCAGAGGACAGCAUCAGCUCUGACGUGUUGACAAGGGCCACGUCCCUUCUGCCACAGAUCUAAACGCAGAAUUCUUGGCUUCUUCUCCAGCACCAUGUCUGCCUGUGCACUGCCAUGCUUCCUGCCAUUGAUGACAAUGAACCUAUCAGGAUGUAAGCUCUCAGCUCCAGCACCAUGCCUACUCCUCAUCAUUAAUGGCCAUGGACUCUAACACUCUGAAACUGUGACCCUUCCCCCCA